rnacentral:rRNA from 1 species
GACGAACGCUGGCGGCAGGCUUAACACAUGCUAGUCGAGCGCCCCGCAAGGGGAGCGGCAGACGGGUGUGUAACGCGUGGGAAUCUACCCAUCACUACGGAACAACUCCGGGAAACUGGAGCUAAUACCGUAUACGUCCUUCGGGAGAAAGAUUUAUCGGUGAUGGAUGAGCCCGCGUUGGAUUAGCUAGUUGGUGGGGUAAUGGCCCACCAAGGCGACGAUCCAUAGCUGGUCUGAGAGGAUGAUCAGCCACACUGGGACUGAGACACGGCCCAGACUCCUACGGGAGGCAGCAGUGGGGAAUAUUGGACAAUGGGCGCAAGCCUGAUCCAGCCAUGCCGCGUGAGUGAUGAAGGCCCUAGGGUUGUAAAGCUCUUUCACCGGUGAAGAUAAUGACGGUAACCGGAGAAGAAGCCCCGGCUAACUUCGUGCCAGCAGCCGCCGUAA